GAUGAACGCUAGCUACAGGCUUAACACAUGCAAGUCGCGGGGCAGCAUGGGGGUUGCUUGCAAUCCCCGAUGGCGACCGGCGCACGGGUGAGUAACGCGUAUUCAACCUGCCCUUCACCACGGGAUAACCCGGCGAAAGUCGGACUAAUACCGUAUGUUGUCCAUUGACGGCAUCCGAUUUGGACGAAAGGCUUGGCGGUGAGGGAUGGGGAUGCGUCCGAUUAGCCAGACGGCGGGGUAACGGCCCACCGUGGCUACGAUCGGUAGGGGUUCUGAGAGGAAGGUCCCCCACACUGGAACUGAGACACGGUCCAGACUCCUACGGGAGGCAGCAGUGAGGAAUAUUGGUCAAUGGGCGUAAGCCUGAACCAGCCAAGUAGCGUGCAGGAUGACGGCCCUAUGGGUUGUAAACUGCUUUUAUGCGGGGAUAAAGUGGCCCACGUGUGGGCUUUUGCAGGUACCGCAUGAAUAAGGACCGGCGAAUUCCGU
rnacentral:rRNA from 1 species